UAAUAAUAGCUUUGAACUAAAAAAAAGUAACAAUAGCCAAAAUAAAUAAAUAAAUAAAUAAAAUAAAAGCAACUAAUAAAAUACACUAAAACAAAACAAAACAAAAUAUUUCUGGCAGUAGGCGUGGUCAGGUAACAUGACGUGUGUGCGCACUAAAGUUCUUCCUGUUUUCUGAGGCUUUGUUACUAAGGGGUGUUAGCUUUUUGUGGAUAUCAUUGUUGUGUUAAUUUCUAUUUUAUUUAUUUUAUAAGAAACUACUUUGCUUGUAUUAUACAAAAUGAAUGAACUGGGUAUGAGCUGGUUUUUCUCUUUCACCUUCCUGCUGCUGAUACACAAAGUGUCGGUGCAGAGUGUUCCUGUUGAAGGUAUUAUAGGACAAACAGUGAUCUUACCGUGUAAACUCAAACAGAAGCCGCAGACUGUGUUUUGGCGAUACAGAGAUGACAGGACGGUGUGUGACUUCCUUGGUGGUGAAGCAGAUUUCGAUGAGCAGGAUCCAGCCUAUAAAGACAGAGUUGAAAUUUUUCCAUCAGAAAUUGAAAAGGGGAAUUUCUCCAUCAUGCUGAGCAACGUGAAGAAAUCUGAUGAAGGAACGUACACCUGCAUUGCCACUAACCUCACUCCCCUGACAGUAGAACUAACUGUUAAAGGUUUGUCUCAUCAUGUCAUUGAAAACUCUGUGGCAAAGUCUGAACCUCCUGGCAGAGGCAAUCAGGAGAUAGUUUGGCUGAAAUAUCCCGGUACAGAGCAGAAUUCUUGAUGCCAUCAAUAUUCACCAGAGUCCCUGAACCACCAGCCACAAAACAACCCCACAGCACCUCCAUGUUUUACAGCAGCUAUCAGACAGAGAAGAGAAACAAACCACAACAGAGAGAGAAGCGAAGCGAAUCACACCACCGAGUACUGCCCCACCAAACGGCGAAUCCACGAGACGAGCAGACGGUCUGUUAAUGUUCCUGUUGGGAUGUGCUCUGCUCUACUGCUUAGCCUUCUGAAGAAAACCCCCAAGCUCAGUGUGUGCAUUAGCUUCACAUACAGGCAUCACAGGAAUUUCUUUUACAGAUUUCUGUUCAGUUGGUAAUGUUUAUAUUUGUAUAUUUGUGCGAGUUUUGCAGCACAGUACCCAAUGUUUCCAAAAAAGCAGUAUGUCUCAGACAAAAGUCCUUCAUCAGCUGUGCAAAGUGUAUAAGGCAUUGUGUUUUGUGUGCUACAGCUUUAAAAGCACUUUACUUUACUCAGUACAGGAGUAUAUUUAUGUUGGCCUGAUAGAGCUAACAUACUCCUCUUCUUCUCUCCAUUUUCAUGGGUCACAGGUUGUGAUAUAGGGCCAUGAAAUUCGGCAGAAUCAUAGAUCCUAUACGGGAAUAGUGUGCUUGUGCUUUUUUUGUGUGUGGAAUUACAGGUGCUGUGUAGUAACUCUCCAAAGUGCAUUUUCCCCCCAUAGGAAUACAUUGAAAAUGUUUUGUUGAUCAUUCUUUCACAUGAUUUGAGCCUUUCUUCAUUCAGCUAUACUGAAGAUAAUUAAAACUGCCUAAUAAAAUCCUAGCAACCAAGUGGCUGGAGCAUGAUAGCAGCCACUGAGGUCACAGCUCUAUCUGUUGCCAAGUCUGAACCUCCUGGCAGAGGCAACAAGAAAGUGCCCCCCCCAAACACACAUACUCUUUUAAAGAGGAUACAGUGACACCUAGAACCAAGAACAAGAAAGACUUUUGAUUAAAUAAGUUAUAAUUUAGGAGUGACUUUCAUAUGAUCAGUGUUUUAAAAACAUUUCUGAUCUUGUUUCAGAUUGUUAACACUGAAUGUUAUGUUGGCAGGGAACAUCUUUAUUACACACUCCAGUGACGCUUCAUAUUGCACUAUAUAUCUAUCUUUAAGUAGCAUAGAUAAUGCUCAGGCUAGCUAGUUACAUAUGCUGAAUAUCAGCUCACUUUAACCAAGAAAAUCAAAGCACAGUCACAUCCAUAAAUAUUUGGACAUAUUUAUAGUUAUUUUAGCUGUCUACCACAGUAUAUUUAAAUUAAAUAAAAAAAUAUGCUCAAAUUGCAGAUUUUUAGCUUUACUUGGAUGGAAAUAUAUAUCUAAAUUGGGAGAACGGGGUAGGAGUUACCCCCCCCCCCCCCCCCCCUUUUGUUUUUUAAGGGACUAAAAGUAAUUGGACAAACAACAUAUUGUUAAAAUUGUCAUUUUUAAUACUUGGUUCCAAAUCCUUUGUAGUCAGUUACUGCCUGAAGUCUGGAACCCAUAGACAUCAUCUAUGUUUUGCCUUCAGUAAGGGAAAUACAUCUCAGUUGGUUUCAGCUCAGGUGAUUGACUUGGCCAUUGCAGAAUAUUCCACUUUUUUUGCCUUAAAAUAGUCUUGCGUUGCUUUUGAAGUACGCUUCAGGUCAUUGUCCAUCUGCACUGUGAAGCUCCAUCCAAUGAAUUUUGAAGCAUUGCAGAUAAUAUAGCUCUGUACACUUCACAAUUCAUCCUGCUGCUUUUAUCAGCAGUCACAUCAACAAAUACAAGGGAACCGGUUCCACUGGCAGUCAUACACACCCACAUCAUAAGAUGAGGUAGUACACUUCAUAUCACAAGCAGUUCCUUCCCUUCUCCAUACUCUUCUCUUCUCUUCAUUCUGCUUCAAGUUGAUAUUUGUCUCUUCUGCCCAUAGGGUAGUUAGGGUAGUUCACUGGUGUAUAUCUCGUGGUAAACCCUCUGUAUUUACUCUGCUGAAUCCUUCUCUCGUUUGUUGACUUUGACACAGCCUACCUCCUGGAGGAUGUUCUUCAUCUGGCCGAGAGUUGUGAAGUGUUUUUUCUUCAUCAGGGGAAAAAAAAACCUUUGUCGUAUACCACAUGGUCUUCUGGGCCUUUUGGUGUUCUGCAGCUCAUUAGUGCAGUCUUCCUUUUUAAGAAUUUACCAAAUAGUUGAUAGUCGAACAGCUGAGCAGCCAAUUACUUGGUGGGGACCCCAAAAAAAGUGCUGAAAGUCUGCACUUUGAUCUCUUAUUCAUUAUUUAAUUUCAACUCCAGUAUACUGUGGUAGACAGCUGGAAUAACAAUAAAUCUGUCAAUGUUCCAAUAUUUAUGGACCUGACUGUAGCUUUAAAAACAGGAAAGAAACUGUUAGCUAUGCGAUAAGACAAUUUCAGAUAAUUUAACCAAAAUUUAGACCAUAAAAUUUGGACAGAAACUAACUAUUGAACUUCCUGUAGUACGACUAUGGAAGCCUCCUUAUGUACAGUUUUGUUCUAAUUGCAAUGAUUUUCAUAUGUUGUUUAUACUGAUGAGGACUUUUCAUGAUGAAGUAUAUGACGUUGUUAUUGUGUUAUUGUACAUUUCAUUUAAAAUGUAGUAAAUUUGCUUUUUUGGCCAUUAAUCUAAACACACAAAUCCAUAAUAACACAGCGAAACAUGAUUUUUGAUAUUUCAGCAAAUUUAUUAAAAAUAAAAAAUUGGAAUCUCUUAUUUAAGUAACUGUUCACAGCCUUUGUGCAGUACGCCUGAAUUUGGUAAGUUUCUCCCAUUCUUCCUGUCAGAUUCUCUAAAGGACUCCAGUCAAGUUCUAAAGACAUCUCAGGAUAGUCAAAGCAAACAGGAUGAACCUGAACUCAGUUUAGAGUGCCUUUAGACAAGGGUCUGUCAUUAUGGAUUACUGUGUGUAGAUUAAUGGCCAGAAAAACCUGAAUUUAAUCAGUUUUAAUUUAGAUAAAUUGUGUAAAAUCUGAACCAAACUCACUGUGUGUAUGUUACAGGCUCUGGCUACAUUUUUUUUUUUGCUCAUUACUAUUUAUUUCAUUUUGUAUUUGUUCUUUAUUUUUAUAAAAUAUAGCUUUGUUCCAUUUACUCGGUAUCCACAAGGACAUUUUGGUGGCUGUCAGAAAACAGGAAACACACGGCAUACGUGAGUUUACUUAUAAAUGCAGGUGAAGUUUAAUUAGGAAACGCUAUGGUCUAAUUAAACUGCUAAUCAUAGUAGAGUCCAUGCUUUUACUGUUUCCAUGUUUUUAUCGCUGCCCAUGACAUCACAAAGCUUGUACAUUUGUCCUUGUAUUUGUAAAUGAGUAAAAUCAGGCUAGUUUUUGCUACAGUAUUAUUUUGCAAAACAUCUUGCUUGUGUGUGCGUGAGUGUGUGUUCAGAAUUCCAAAUGGCAGUUUUCAAACAGUCCAUGUUUAUUCAAAGUUCACUUCUGGUACAGUUUCUAAAUGGACAUGAGUAUCUGAUGAAAAGCAAAAUGUCCUGGUGAAUGUAGUGUAACUGCUCCUUAAAUCACCCAAAAACAUUUCUUUCAUUGCUUUUUUUGAAGUUUACUAAACCAGUAUUACUUUGCAUUGAUAGUUUACCGAGUUGCAUUGAUGAUAAAGGAUCAGGUUAAAUGAAUUCUGAUGAAUUUUCUGUUGAAUUAUCAUGGUAAUUACUGAAAAUGUACAACUAUUGAAACUUAUUACUAUGGUAAUGUUAUAAAUAACACAAUUGUUAUUUAGGUUCUGAUAAAUAAAAACGUAGAAUUGAAA